GCCGGGCACGGUGGCGCGCGCCUGUAGUCCCAGCUACUCGGGAGGCUGAGGCUGGAGGAUCGCUUGAGCUCAGGAGUUCUGGGCUGCAGUGCGCUAUGCCGAUCGGGUCUCCGCACUAAGUUCGGCAUCAAUAUGGUGACCUCCCGGGAGCGGGGGACCACCAGGUUGCCUAAGGAGGGGUGAACCGGCCCAGGUCGGAAACGGAGCAGGUCAAAACUCCCGUGCUGAUCAGUAGUGGGAUCGCGCCUGUGAAUAGCCACUGUACUCCAGCCUGGGCAACAUAGCAAGACCCCGUCUCUU
rnacentral:SRP_RNA from 1 species